rnacentral:rRNA from 1 species
GACGAACGCUGGCGGCGUGCCUAAUACAUGCAAGUAGAACGCUGAAGCUUGGUGCUUGCACCGAGCGGAUGAGUUGCGAACGGGUGAGUAACGCGUAGGUAACCUGCCUGGUAGCGGGGGAUAACUAUUGGAAACGAUAGCUAAUACCGCAUAAGAGUAGAUGUUGCAUGACAUUUGCUUAAAAGGUGCAAUUGCAUCACUACCAGAUGGACCUGCGUUGUAUUAGCUAGUUGGUGAGGUAACGGCUCACCAAGGCAACGAUACAUAGCCGACCUGAGAGGGUGAUCGGCCACACUGGGACUGAGACACGGCCCAGACUCCUACGGGAGGCAGCAGUAGGGAAUCUUCGGCAAUGGACGGAAGUCUGACCGAGCAACGCCGCGUGAGUGAAGAAGGUUUUCGGAUCGUAAAGCUCUGUUGUAAGAGAAGAACGAGUGUGAGAGUGGAGAGUUCACACUGUGACGGUAUCUUACCAGAAAGGGACGGCUAACUACGUG